AACGUAGGAGACAAACGUUAUCCGGAAUUACUGGGCGUAAAGGGCGUGCAGGUGGUCUGUUAAGUCUGGCGUGAAAGCUCUCGGCUAAACCGGGAGAGGUCGUUGGAUACUGGCGGACUAGAGGACGGUAGAGGUGUGUGGAAUUCCGGGUGUAGUGGUGAAAUGCGUAGAGAUCCGGAGGAACACCAGUGGCGAAGGCGACACACUGGGCCGUACCUGACACUAAGACGCGACAGCAUGGGGAGCGAACGGG
rnacentral:rRNA from 1 species